rnacentral:rRNA from 1 species
CACACCGCCCCGUCACACCAUGGGAGUUGAUUGCACCAGAAGUAGGUAGCCUAACCGCAAGGAGGGCGCUUACCACGGUGUGGUCAAUGACUGGGGGUG